UACGUAGGGGGCAAGCGUUGUCCGGAAUCAUUGGGCGUAAAGCGCGUGUAGGCGGCUGGCUAAGUCCGCUCUGAAAGCCCGGGGCUCAACCCCGGGAGGCGGGUGGAUACUGGUCAGCUCGAGUCCGGAAGAGGAGUGUGGAAUUCCUGGUGUAGCGGUGAAAUGCGCAGAUAUCGGGAGGAACACCAGUGGCGAAGGCGGCACUCUGGGCCAAUACUGACGCUGAGGUGCGAAAGCGUGGGGAGCAAACAGG
rnacentral:rRNA from 1 species